rnacentral:rRNA from 1 species
CGCCUACGGGACGCAGCAGUGGGGGAUAUUGCACAAUGGGGGAAACCCUGAUGCAGCGACGCCGCGUGGGUGAAGAAGUAUUUCGGUAUGUAAAGCCCUAUCAGCAGGGAAGAAAGAAGACGGUACCUGACUAAGAAGCCCCGGCUAACUACGUGCCAGCAGCCGCGGUAAUACGUAGGGGGCAAGCGUUAUCCGGAUUUACUGGGUGUAAAGGGGGCGCAGACGGCGAUGCAAGCCAGGAGUGAAAGCCCGGGGCCCAACCUCGGGACUGCUCUUGGAACUGCGUGGCUGGAGUGCAGGAGGGG